rnacentral:lncRNA from 1 species
AGGAGCGCGAGCACAGAAGAGGCCCGCAGACAGCUUUCCUUUGGAUUGGUCAAGGAUACUGUUAGGAAGUUGAUGGAAAAGUCCAAAUCUUCUGAACCUCUAAGGUAGCUGCCAAAAA